GAACCUUGUUCCUCGGGCCAGACGGACAUUGGUCCUCGAGUGCAAAGGCAGAAGUGAGCUUGACUGCAAGACUCACCCGUCGAGCAGAGACGAAAGUCGGCCUUAGUGAUCCGACGAUGUCGAGUGGAAGGGUCGUCGCUCAAC
rnacentral:ncRNA from 1 species